rnacentral:rRNA from 1 species
AUGGACCAUUCCAUCCCUUAUUCCCUUGGCUAUGCAUCAGAUUCGGAUGACGAAGGUCCCGAUGAACAAGAUGAGGAGGGGUUCACGGUGAAGGAGGCCGAAGCUUUCGAGAAGGUAUUCGGUCGGGAUCAUCGGACUACAUUGUUCAAGGAUGUUAUUCUUGCGGAUGAAGCCGUGGUAGAUGGUGGCCAAGGUAUAUCUCUUGGGGUUAGGCCAAGCUCUCACCACGAUUUGAAGACGACAAGAACCGGAUUGCUAAAGGGUCUAAGUUCGAAACCUUAUUGGAAUUGA